rnacentral:tRNA from 1 species
GAGGGUAUAGCUCAGUGGUGAAGCAUGUGCUUAGCAUACAUGAGGUCCUGGGUUCAACCCCAGUACCUCCA